rnacentral:rRNA from 1 species
GAUGAACGCUGGCGGUAUGCUUAACACAUGCAAGUCGAACGGACUCUUCGGAGUUAGUGGCGGACGGGUGAGUAACGCGUGAGAAUCUGGCUUUGGGUUCGGGACAACCACUGGAAACGGUGGCUAAUACCGGAUGUGCCGAGAGGUAAAUGAGAAAUUGCCUGAAGAUGAGCUCGCGUCUGAUUAGCUAGUUGGUGAGGUAAAGGCUCACCAAGGCAGCGAUCAGUAGCUGGUCUGAGAGGAUGACCAGCCACACUGGGACUGAGACACGGCCCAGACUCCUACGGGAGGCAGCAGUGGGGAAUUUUCCGCAAUGGGCGAAAGCCUGACGGAGCAAUACCGCGUGAGGGAAGAAGGCUCUUGGGGUGUAAACCUCUUUUCUUAGGGAAGAACAAAAUGACGGUACCUAAGGAAUCAGCAUCGGCUAACUCCGUG